CAGCAGCCGCGGGAAUACGAAGGGUGCAAGCGUUACUCGGAAUUACUGGGCGUAAAGCGUGCGUAGGUGGUGGUUUAAGUCCGUUGUGAAAGCCCUGGGCUCAACCUGGGAAUUACAGUGGAUACUGGGUCACUAGAGUGUGGUAGAGGAUAGUGGAAUUUCCGGUGUAGCAGUGAAAUGCGUAGAGAUCGGAAGGAACAUCUGUGGCGAAGGCGACUAUCUGGGCCAACACUGACACUGAGGCACGAAAGCGUGGAGAGCAAACAGGAUUUGAUACCCGAGUAGUCCCUGUCUCUUAUAC
rnacentral:rRNA from 1 species